rnacentral:rRNA from 1 species
UACGGGGGGUGCGAGCGUUGUCCGGAAUCACUGGGCGUAAAGGGCGCGUAGGUGGUUUGAUAAGGGUGUGGUGAAAGCCCGGGGCUCAACCCCGGGUCUGCCGUGCCGACUGUCAAACUCGAGGGCUGUAGAGGCAGACGGAAUUCCGGGUGUAGCGGUGGAAUGCGUAGAGAUCCGGAGGAAGACCGGUGGCGAAGGCGGUUAGCUGGGCAGUUGCUGACACUGAUGCGCGACAGCGUGGGGAGCAAACAGG